rnacentral:ribozyme from 1 species
GGCUGACCAAAUCCUAUCUCUACCUCCUCGUGGUGUCAGCCGGAAUGUGCAGUAUCAGUAC